CUGGAUUUUUCGAAAUACUUUCCCAGGAGCAUCUAAAUAAAACACCAAAAUUCCAUUUUUUUUUUAACUUUUCAUUCAUCGUUUUUGUUCCUCUGUGUAGUAAAUUAUGCUAAAAGGAUCUGCCCCAACUAAUUUGACAUACCCUUUUACUUUUUUUCCUGUGUUACUAUCUUCCUCUUAUGCUGUUUGUUAUGAACACUCUUCAUGAAUAACCUGCGAAACAUCGACUGCAGAAUUAUAUUUCCAUAGUCGGAAUUACUGUUUGGUGGCAGUACUAGUUCAUCUCUUUCAAACUCAUCAUCCGCCUGAUAAACUGUCUUCUUAAUACUUUCUCCAAAAUCAUAAACAUCUUGCUUGUUUAUUGGUCUUUUUUGUUUGGGCAGUUUUA
rnacentral:lncRNA from 1 species